rnacentral:rRNA from 1 species
GCCAAAAACCUAGCCCAAUAAUACUUUAAAACACUACAAUACCUUAUUUUACAAAAUAAACCAUUUUAUAAGUCUAGUAAAGGUGAUAAAAAAACUAACUGGAGCUAUACAAAUAGUACCGUAAGGGAAAAUUGAAAUAAAAGUGAAAUAAACAUUUAAGCAACAUAAAGUAGAGACUUUACCUCGUACCUUUUGCAUCAUGGUUUAACUAGCACAAUGUAAGCAAAAAGAAUUUUAGUUUUCCUCCCCGAAACUAAGUGAGCUACUUCGAGGCAGCUUAAUGAGCCAACCCGUCUCUGUUGCAAAAGAGUGGGAAGACCUUCAAGUAGGGGUGAUAGACCUAACGAACUUAGUGAUAGCUGGUUACCUGGUACAAGAAUUUUAGUUCUACCUAAAGCCUUAAAAAGUCCUAUAAACUAACUACUUUGCUUUAGAGUUAUUCAAAUAAGGUACAGCCUAUUUGAAUUAGGAUACAACCUAAACUAAUGGGUAAAUAAACUUUAAGUAUUUAAGUGGGCCUAAAAGCAGCCACCUUUUAAACAGCGUCAAAGCUUGUCUACUUCUAAUUUUUAAUUCCAAAAUUUAACCUAAACCCUUUACCUAAACCGGGUAAUUCUAUACAUUUAUAGAAGAUAUAAUGUUAAAACUAGUAACAAGAAGAAAGCCCUUCUCUUAAAUGCAAGUGUAAGCCAGAAAGGAUUAACCACUGUCAAUUAACACAACUGAUUUUUAAAUAGUAACACUACAAGGAAACCCUAUUUUUUUAAGUGUUAAACUAACACAAGAGCAUUUCAAGAAAGAUUAAAAGAAAAAGAAGGAACUCGGCAAACAUUAACCCCGCCUGUUUACCAAAAACAUCGCCUCUUGAAAAUUAUAAGAGGUCCAGCCUGCCCAGUGACCUAGUUCAACGGCCGCGGUAUCCUAACCGUGCGAAGGUAGCGUAAUCACUUGUUCUUUAAAUAAGGACUAGUAUGAAUGGCACCACGAGGGUUUAACUGUCUCCUUUUUUUAAUCAGUGAAACUAAUCUCCCCGUGAAGAAGCUGGGAUUUUUUUAUAAGACGAGAAGACCCUAUGGAGCUUUAAACUAUUUUACACUUGCUGCUCACUAACCAAUUUUCAGAAAUUAACCUUAAAGCAUAGCAUUUUGAUUUAUAGUUUUCGAUUGGGGUGAUCGCGGAGUAAAAAUUAACCUCCACGACGAAAGGAUAACUCCUGAGCCGUAAGCUACAACUUUAAGCACUAAUAUUAUUAACGUCUAUUGACCCAAUAAUUUUGAUCAACGAACCAAGUUACCCUAGGGAUAACAGCGCAAUCCACUUCAAGAGCUCCUAUCGACAAGUGGGUUUACGACCUCGAUGUUGGAUCAGGGUGUCCUAGUGGUGCAGCCGCUACUAACGGUUCGUUUGUUCAACGAUUAAAACCCU